rnacentral:rRNA from 1 species
UACGUAGGUAGCAAGCGUUGUCCGGAAUUAUUGGGCGUAAAGAGCUCGUAGGCGGUUUGUCGCGUCUGCUGUGAAAACUCGGGGCUUAACCCCGGGCCUGCAGUGGGUACGGGCAGACUAGAGUGCGGUAGGGGAGACUGGAAUUCCUGGUGUAGCGGUGAAAUGCGCAGAUAUCAGGAGGAACACCGGUGGCGAAGGCGGGUCUCUGGGCCGUAACUGACGCUGAGGAGCGAAAGCGUGGGGAGCGAACAGG